UUAUUAUUUAGUCACGUUGGAGAUUUUUCCUGCAUUUUCCUGUUUUAUCUAACACCCCAGCACUACAGUUGGAUUUAAGCCCAAACUUUGACUAGGCUCCUCUGCUGCUACAUUACAUGUGACAAAUCAGCGGAACGAGAUUAAUCAGUUCCUGGCCUGGCAGUGAAUUGGGACACCGCAGAACAAAUGGGAGAGCGGGAAAUUUGGACUUGGAAGGACGAAUGGACAGACGGAUAGACAGUGACUUUUUAUGGAAAAGAUAAUUAAUUAGUCAGACCACUGUUAAAAAAACAAAAAAAAAAAAAACCAACACCUCAUGAUCUGAGGCAAAUCCAGUGAAAUGCUUCCUCUCCUCUUGGUUUCAAGUAGGAAUAUUGUAUUUGCUGGUGUUCAUCGGUUUACAGCUAAAUUUAGAUGCUUCCUUUGAUGGAUGUUUUAAUAAUCUGUGCUCAGAUUUGUGCUUCCAACAGUAACAUUGUUUGACUUCUUAUAGCCAUUCAGGAUUAGUUUUCAGACUUGUCCCUUGUGUACGUGGUCUUCUUAUGCUACCCUGAAUAUUUGAAUAUUUAAUUAUACACAGAAUAGUAUGAAGGGAAAAAAAAAAGAUCAGCCAGAUUCACACAAAGUGUUCUCAAAAGAAACGAUAACUACCAUGAAUAUUUCAGGAUUUUAUUAUUUGUAGUAUAUGUUAUUUUGGGUUCUUACUUGUUUUUAGCAACACUAACUAUGUAGGUAAGACAGAGAAAUUCCACUGUUUUAUAAAGUUCAAAAUAAAUAAAACUAGUGCAACCAAGUUAGAAUAAACAAAAAAAAAUUCAAUAAAAAUAAUCUUGCGGUCAAUUAAAACAUUAAAAACAAGAGUGAGGUUGAUUGAAAUAAGUAGAACAAUAUAGCAAGCUAGCCAGAUCUUUCUGCAUAUAUGUAAUAUGAAAUGCUUGUAUGGGGGAAUUUUACUGCCAUAAUUCGAGAGCACACAUUUUCAGUCUCAAGCAGGAUUUUUUGUCUUUGUUCUUAAAACUUGUAAUGCUUGUACUCAAAACUGCUGCUGUCUUUCAAAUAUGCACUGUCUUGCUCUCUUUCAAAACAUAAAAAUAUGAUAGCCUGGCAACGUUCCAGCCAACAGAACAUCAAUCAAAGUGUAAUACUGGGCAGUGGGAGGCUGGGAGCUUCGUCAAGGGUGUGUUUGUUUCCUUCUAGUGCGUAUGCCUGUGUGGCUACGUAUCAGUCUAGAUAGAUAGACAUCUAUCUAGGCUGAAAAUGUGUGUUCUCGACUUACGGCAGUAAAAUCUCCCCAUAUAUUUGGCUCUAGUUAAAAGCAUAAAAGAAGCAUCUUCUAAGGUAAACUAUCAAAAACAGCACAAAAGUCUAAAAUCACCAAAGCAACUAAGUUCCCAGAAUCAACGGGCAAAAUUAACUGUUUUAGUUGUGUAGAAUCAAACUAAAAUUUUGCAGUUUUCAUAAAAAAAAAGAAAAAGAAAUUGCAAUCGGGAAAAAAUGUUUUUAAAAAAUCUCAAGAGCCUUAGAACAAAACAGCUUGGAAACAGUCCUAAAUGUAAAGAUGUAAAUCUGUUUUAUUGAUGAGAGGACGCGCCACAGUCUGCCUGAGAGCAGCUGGGAAUUAAGAAAACCACGUACCAGUAAAAUAAUAAAUGAUCCAAAAGCAUUAAUAACGUCCUUAAGAUGCAGUUUCGUUUGACGUCAUAAAUGCCUGUUAGUUUGUUAAAUUAGUGCCGCAUUCCCAUCUGCUGUACUGGAAGUGUGUGAACAAUGUAUUGUACUUUUCCAUUACACAUGAAUGCCACAUUUCAAUAUAUCACUCAACUUUCCAGUGACUCACGCGCCAAGAUAACGGCACAAAAUCGCGCAUUGCAACAAGCUAAUUUGAGCUAACCCUGCUGCGGACGGACGAUAUGAGGGCAAAUAAAAGGAACACUUUGUAUGUCAGAUUCCUUCAUGUUGUUUUUAUUGGGUCCAUUAGGCAGCUGGUUGCAGAGUCCCUGAGGUGUGUGUGCUCCGUUAAUGUGUUUGUUUUUCUCAGAGCUCUGUUGAAGUGAAUGAUGUCACCCUUAAUUGUCGCACAGAGAAACACACUUCCACCUCUCAAGAGGAACAGGUAGGUUAGUCGACUCUCCAUACGGGUUGUCUUUGUUCACUGGCAAAAACUACAACGAAAUCAUUGCACUGCCAUAUAUGUCAUAGACAACAAACAUUUUCUGGUUUAAAUACAAAUAAAUAAAUAAAUAAAUUAGCUGAAACCAAUUCAACCCGUAGUUAGUGAGUGAAAACUUACAUAUAAUGCUACUACACACGCUAUUGGAUGGCAUGUGCAAAGCAGCCAAUCAAGGAGCACCACUCAUUUUCCUUGACGGUGAUUGGCUGUGCCCAAAGGAGCGGAGGUAAGGAAGAUUGCGGAUGUUAGCUUCUGCGGUAGUGCUAAAACGGUUUCCAAAGUGCAUAUAUUCAUGCGCAACAAGUUAUGUUUGAUGUUUCAAUUAUUAAGGUGAAAGUUAUUGUUGCUGGUCCAAACAGUGACCGCUGCCCCCUCAUUGGACUCUUUGAAUGACCGGAGAGCAGUUUUGGGCGAAGAGGGAAUCAGGGUGAGUCACUUCAGAAGGUCAGUGAUCUGCUUUGGGUCAGAGGUAAAUCAGCUUCCUCUCUGUUUUCCUAAAUGCCCGUUAAAGAAGAGAGAGUGUCCCCUUCAGUCAGACUGGGUUCCUACACAUUUAUAAAAAACAAAAUACAAACUUUUCCAAACUCAUGUUAGUAGAGAUCUCAGCAUAAAUACAGGAAUUGGUAAGGAUGAAAGGAAGAAUGGAGGGAUAAAAAUCAAGCAUGGAAGAAACAAUGGCAAGACGAAAGUAUGGAUGGAUGAAAGAAAAGAUGGAAGGAUAAAACAAGAAGAAGCAAUGAAAUGAAGGAGGUUUGAAAGGAAGGAUGUUGAAAUAAAAGAAAGGAAGAUGGUAAGGUGAAAGGAAGGAUGGAAGAAAGAAAGGAUGGUAAGGUGGAAGGAAGACAAUGGGUGCUUGGACUAGUCCCUCUCCAGAGCCCAGUCCUCCUUCCAACCAGCCACAAUCAGAGACAGGAUGCGGGCGAUCAGCCUGGCAUCGUCAUGGGAACCUGUGGCCCGAAGGCCUGAAUAAUUCAGUGCCUGGGAUAAAUUUACAGCCUGUGAAGUCCUGCAGAAGACGGAUCAGAGCUGUACCUGUACACUUUCAUAUGCCUAAUGGAGGGAUUUGUUCCGCUGCGGUUUCACAGACCGUACUCGGAAGAGGUGGACGCCCUUUGGUUCCAUGUCCCGGUGCAAGCUAAAGUAAACACACGCGUGUAUCAGGAGUCAAUAUUUGCUGCUGCUGCCUCCUCUGCUGCUUUCCUCAUGUUCCACGCUGUCAUCCAGCAGCUUUCUGACAGCUUCAACGCCCUGCAACCAAACUUAGUGCGUUUCCGCAGGACUUUGAGUCUACAGCCGAGGGCGCGGAGGCGUCACCUUCUGUGACCUUUUUGACUAAAAAGAAACUUCCCCGUCAACCACCAUGAAAGUCAAUCCGCCGUGUUAAUAAUUUAGUCAAAUAACGACCCAAAUGAACUGCUUUCUCCUCACCGUAUUUAUCCUUCUGUCUUAAAGCCCACGUCCUUUACCGAGAACAUGAGCUCGUUACGUGGGUGAGCCCGACGAGCCUCAGAAGGUCAACGGAGACGGAACAAAAAAAAAAAAACAAAAGACGGGGGGGGGAAGUCAAGGCUUGUUAAUCCUCGGUCUUGUGCUCCAAACACACCUCAUCUCUAUUAUCUGGAAAUAACAUGGUCGAGAGCUGAAGGUCGGCUUACUCGAGAUGAGUAAGACAAAUCAUCUUUUCAUUAGAGCACGAAGCAGAGAGGGAAAGAGAGGAGUCCCUCCGAGGGUGGAGAAGGUGGAGGGUGAAAUGAGACGGAAUGGAAAAUGAAGAUGGAUGGCUCCAUCAGAUCAGAGAGAAAAGGUAGCCUGCAGGUGAAUGGACACAGGUCCUUAAUAAUGGUGCCUCUCCGCAGUGUUUCUUAGGUGUUAUUUUUUAUUAUCUUCUUUAUCCACAGCUUUAAGAUGGAUAAACCCGUCCAGAAUGUGUGCGUUAAACACGAGGCAAAGUGAAGUGACAUUUACAGAGAGAAAUAUGCAAGAAAAUGGUAGUCUGAGUUAUGACUCACCUCUUAAAUUAUGACUCAGAUGGUUUCUUAUCACAGUUAAAGGUAGAAAAGUUUUUUUUUUUUUUUUUUUUACUUUUAUGGACCACAAAUAGAUCUUCUCUGGUGACUAACAGUCACUACUAAACACACUUACAGUUCCUGUCAGAACAUCACAUCCAGUCAUGACGGGCAAGAAUUUCAAAUCCAUGUUGGCCUUUCCAAGAUUUAUUUGGCAUGUUUCUUUUUUUAUGAUGGGGUGAAAACCCUAAUUUUGACCCUCCUUCCAGCACCAGUUGUAUAUGAGACAAUACUUUAGACUAAGUAAAGUUUUGUAUUGCACUUUUAAAAAUAUAAAUCAAUGUUUCAUAAGGAAAAAGCAGACUUAAAAACAACUUUGUUGGAAAUCCAGAGAUCUCUGGGUGAAAGGAAGACUGUCCCAGAAACUUGGAGUAAGGGUAACCCUAAUCUUAAAUUAGCAUUUUAGCCAGUUUUUAUAUGAAUGCUAAAUUCUGGCAUAUUGAAAGUUGCUGGCUAAAACGCUACUGAAAUCCUGUAGACUUGGAACACUUGCAUCUCAUUAGCUUUAGCGUGUAAGCCAUUUUACCCAAAAGCAAAUGUCUUAACUGAAUAGAGUGAAUAACGUCGGCCAAACUAACAAUUACCUGUUCAGGUAUCGAUAGCAUUUCAGCUUACAAACUAUAGCUACCAUGCUAUAAGGAGCACAUUGUGAAUAUUCUAGUGAUGGUUCUCUUGCUAAUAUUAGCAUUUUGGCAAAUAAAGAUUUGCUUGAAUUUACAUAUUCAACAAGUGAGUGACAGCAUGAGGGCUAAAACUUUAGCUAAAAUUAUUUUCACUACAUUUCAUGAAAACCUACUAAAUUUAGUCAAUCUUAGACAACGUGCUAAUGAUAGCAGGUUGUUGACAGCAUUUAAUCUAACAUUAGCUUGUGUUAUACAUUGCUGUUAUCACACUAGAUGGAACAUUUUAAUGUUAUGAAACAUGGUAGUGCUCCACAACCCAUAAUCCAUCAGCUUUAGCUAAUUUCAACACAUGUGCUACUCUGCACUGGAGCUAAAAAUCAUUUUUCUUACCGUCUACAUUCAACAGCAGUCUCUUUUGCUUUGAAAGAAUAAUGGAGACCGUUUCUGGUUAUUACAUUUAUGGGUUUUUUUCCCACACUGCAUGGAGUAUGUUACCCUGGGUCAGGAUCCUAGACCUAAUGUAGAGGCUAUUAGUAUUUCAUCUAGCUUCACCUCUUUAGCUAAUUUUAGCUCAUAAAUGGUUGUGACCCUAGUUUAGCUUUGUAAACAGUGUUCUACUCAAAUUUCUAAUAUCCUGGGUGGGAUUUUUGCAUUGAGUAGAUGUUUUCACUCUUGUGCAGUUUUUCUAGUAGCAUUUUUGCAGGCCUUUUGCUUUAUUUUGUUGCUUCUGCCCAUUUCUUACAUUUCUGCAGUUGACUUCAAAUGCAUCUCCCAUUUACACUAAAAAUAUUCAGCUUACAACAUUCACACUGCAUUUCUGUAGGAAGUGUAGUUUUUCUCUAGUUUGACUUGGAGUUCUUUAUUGAGGCAAGACAGAACACACACACACAAAAAACAUAUAAUUAAAUAAUAAAAUAAAAUAGAAACUUGAUGAUGAGAGAUGGUAAAAAGCACUUUGAGUUCAUUUAACGGUUUUACAGGAGAUGACAUAUCACCGGUGGCACUGACCCGGUGGAUCUCCUGGUGCUGCAUCGGUUCGCUCCAGCUUCCUGUUUUAGCUCUCGUCUCUGCCUGCUUUUAGGUGUCUUUUAUCAUUUAAAUUGAUACAACACACACCAAUGCUAUAUUUUAUUAUUCUACAUAUAAAAACAUAUAUACAUACAUCCGUCAUAGAGCACUUUGGUGUGUUGCCAUAGUUACUGAAAGCCCUGGUUCAAACUCAGCUCAGAGCAUCAGGCUGCUGUCCCACCUCCGAGCCAGGUGCUGCUGGAACUUUACUGCAGGAAGGGAA